GCACCUUCUUCCUGCGCCCACCCCCACCCUCAGGAAUGCCACAUGGCCUCCGAAGAGGAGUGGUGGGAACCGAGGCUCGGGAGAGUCCGCUUGGGGGCAGGAAGUGGCCCGUUCCUCCUCUCGGAGAGCGUUUCCGGAGCGCCUACUGUGUGCUCCACGCGGGGAGUGGGGGCCGUUACCGAGGGGAGAAAUAGUGCAAAGACUGACGUUUGUGAGACCGCUCCCUCCGCCGGAUCUCCCGCCGGCGGUGUGAUGGUUCCCAUCGCACCGAGAGGAAACUGAGGCCCAGUUAGCCCGGGGAUUUGCCCCAGUUGGUGAGGACCGGGUUCUAAAUGCGACGCCUCUUCUGCCCUCAACGGCCGCUAGAGUCGGGUUUCAGAAGGCUGCCUCGGACUCAACCCCCAAGCACGCAGCUCCUGCGUCUAGAACACAAGUGGCGGCCGGAGGUAAAAGCAGCGCUUGAGGAGAGAGACAGCCAGCAAGAGAAGGAACACAGCAGGGGAGAGGGAGAGGAAGAAGCAGACUCCUGGCAGAGGAGCCGGAUGUGGGACUCGAUCCCAAGACCCCGUGAUCACGCCCUGAGCCUAAGGCAGACGCUUAACAACUGCGCUACGCCCCCACGUCAAGUUUUUCAACCACACUGUUCAUUGUGGUGGAAGACUGCAGACAGCUACAUACCCCUGACCAGGAGCUGACUUCUUACCGUACCUCUGGGACCUCUUGACAGCGGGAAGUUGGGAUGGGAAACAGCCAGCGAGAGAAGGAGCACAACAGGGGGAGUGGGAGAGGAAGAAGCAGGCUCCCAGCGGAGGAGCCUGAUGUGGGGCUUGAUCCCAGGACCCCGGGAUCAUGUCCUGAGCCGAAGGCAGACGCUUAACGACUGAGCCACCCAGGCACCCUGACAGUCUCUUCUCUUGAUGCCCUCUGACUUCUAGUCGAAGAUUAAGUAGUGUACAGUGUAGUGAUUCCACUGUUCUGUACGUUACUCGCUGCUCAUCCUGUUUUCAUGGAUUUUUUUUUAAAGAUUUUAUUUCAAAGUAAUUUCCAUACCCAACGUGGGACUUGAACUGACAACCCCAAGAUCAAGAGUCACGUGCUCUACCUGCUGAGCCAGGAAGGCGCCCCAAGAGAUGGUCUUCAUGGAUUUAAAUGCACCAGUCUUUUCCUUUGUGGUUUCUGAGUUUUGUGCCAGACUUUGAAAGUUCUGGGCAUGUUUCACUGUUACCUGUAAAUGUUGCCUGUGAGAGAGAAAACAGUAGCUGCUGCUGCUUUUCUAAAGAGCUGCUAGGAUUUUAAUAAAUUAGCUCACAAAUAGAAAAUUGCCUUCUUCCUGGCUUCUGAAUGUGCUCUAUGCCUUUCUGCUCCCAGACUUUGUUCACACUUCUUCCUCCAAGCUCCACUCCUGCAUGUUCCCCCCGCGUGAUAGUCCUGCCCUUCCACACACAGAACAGUUCCCUUGCCCCAUCCUCUGGAUCUCAUCAGGUCAGGCCCAUGCCAGCUCAGAAACCAGUAAGGCUGGAUGGGUUCUGUCCCCCCAAAGCAGGCGUGAAUCUGUCCCUUUCUCUGGGGUGAAGGGGGAGUAGGCCUGUGACAGGAUUGCAGACCGAGGGGUCAGAACCCAAGGAGGCUUGUUUCUAACCCUGUCCCUGCUAUCUUCCAGGAAGGCUUUUGGUGCCACAGUGGCCCUGCAGAGUGCCCUGUGACCCUGAUGCGGGGCAUGUGUGGCCAGCGCUCUGGGGGUCCCCAGAGGACACCCACAGCCUGCACCACUCUUUGGUCCCUUCCUUGGGACUAGCUGUAGUGAGCAGCCCUCCAUCUAGGGCCGGGGUUGAGGGCGUGUUCAGACGGAGUCUGUUGUGGUAUUUGGGCCUGGUCAGGACUUGUUUGGGGCUGGCUCCCUCUGGAGUGGAGAUCAGGGACUCGUGGAGCUCCAUUUGAAGGCAAGAGAGGGGGUGUUUCAUGGGGUUCAUGGGGUUGCCUGGGAGGGCCAGGGCCUGGCUGGGAGGGGCCUGGUACUGAGGUAGGGCAGAGGCUUGUGGGAAAUUGGAUGCUUCUCAGCCAGUACAUGGUCCUUUUAGUGCUCAGCACUCCCUUGGUUCGGAUCUCGGACCUUUGCUGUGUGCUGUGGUUGGCUGGCUAUGGGUGACCUUUAGGGAAGGCAUCAGGAUCACAGCGGGCCCAGCAGCUGCUCCCUGACCUUUGCUAGGGUCUAGUGGGAUGUGUCUAGCCCAGGUCUGAGCUCUGUGGGGGAUCUAGAGGCUGGGGUCCAGCCCUCCCUCUGCCCCAGAUCCACCAGGUGACCUCAGGUAGUCCCUGCCCCUCUUAGCUGACUGUUCUUUCAACUAGUAUUUCUGUUCCUCUUGUGCCCCGGGUGCCGUCGUCAGUGUCCCCAUCAUUCAGGUGUAACAGAGAUCCCAGCCCUGCCCACCUUGUGUGCCAUGUGAAAACCGGUCACAUGGCUGAACUAACCGGCCCAGAGCACACGUGGUGGCUGCCUGGCGCUGACCUCAGCGAAUCCCUUAAACCCAUUCAUGCCUACCUUCGCCUGGAGCUUCUGGGAUGCGCCCUCCUCCCUGUUCCCAGAGCCUCCCUGUUCUUCCAGGAGCACCUGGCUUUCCAGGAGCAUUGAGGUGUUCCUGGAGAUCCAGGCUCUAGUCCUGAAGCCUGGGUGAACUUGACCCCUGUCUUCCCGGUGCCCCAGAACCCCCCAUUGACAUAUGUGAUUCCUGAGGGUCCUUCCCACUUGGGCCUCUCUCUUGAGGACUGUUUCCCGAAGGACCUCUGUCUGCCCCCCACUGCUGGUCUGGUCUCUGGGAGCCUUUCCCUGGCUGGGAGGAGGUGGGGGUCUGGGCAGCCACUAGGGACAGGAGAGGGCAGGAAGGUGUUUAGGGACUAGGAGCUCCUCUGUUUCACCCCAGCAACAGACGCAUAGACCGAGAGCAGUGCUGAGACUUCUAUUCAAGAUUCUGCCUCCCCUGGGCACAAUAUCCACCCUCCAUGCAUCUUCUGGAUCACAUUCCUGGUGGGGUGGCUGGGCAGGGCACAGAGGAGGGCUCUGGCAUCCUGUCCUCUCAGAAGGGACCUUGCUGAGCUUUGUGGCAGUGGCAGUGGCUGGGAAAGAGCUGUCAUGCCCUGCGUGGGGGUGCAGUGAACUUGUGUCCGACAGGACACAGGGCCCAUCCCGUGGGGAGCAGCCAUGAGACCCAGCUCCCGAGAAGACAGUCCUCUCUCAGGGGGCGGGGUCACGGUGGAACACCGGCCUCAUGUUGGCUGUGCGCCCCUUGCCUGGCACUGCACGCUCUCAGCCUGUUCCUCCACGGGGAGCUGGUCCCCUAGCCGCUCAGAGGGAGGAUCCCCUAAGAGGGUCCUGUGGGGUCACGGGCAUGGAGCACAGUGAAUGUGGGGAGCAGGAGAGUGGGACAGGGGCCUGGGCAUGGGGGGCUGGGGAGGCCUAGUCGUCCUUGUCCUUGGCACCAUGCUUGAGGAUGCGGGUGAACUCC